rnacentral:rRNA from 1 species
CCUACGGGUGGCAGCAGUGAGGAAUAUUGGUCAAUGGACGAGAGUCUGAACCAGCCAAGUAGCGUGAAGGAUGACUGCCCUAUGGGUUGUAAACUUCUUUUAUAAAGGAAUAAAACGAGGCACGUGUGCCUUUUUGCAUGUACUUUAUGAAUAAGGAUCGGCUAACUCCGUGCCAGCAGCCGCGGUAAUACGGAGGAUCCGAGCGUUAUCCGGUUUUAUUGGGUUUAAAGGGAGCGUAGAUGGGUUGUUAAGUCAGUUGUGAAAGUUUGCGGCUCAACCGUAAAAUUGCAAUUGAUACUGGCAGUCUUGAGUACAGUUGAGGUAGGCGGAAUGCGUGGUGUAGCGGUGAAAUGCUUAGAUAUCACGAAGAACCCCGAUUGCGAAGGCAGCUUACUAAACUGUGACUGACAUUGAUGCUCGAAAGUGUGGGGAUCAAACAGGAUUAGAUACCCGUGUAGUC